GGGCCAUUAGCUCAGCUGGUAGAGCAACAGACUCUUAAUCUGUGGGUCGACGGUUCGAAGCCGCCAUGGCUCA
rnacentral:tRNA from 1 species